CAUUCUUCUCAGCCGCUCCAGCAAUGGACGCAACCCGGAAAAUGAAGUCAACCGCGAUUGUGCGAGCACUUGUUUGCACAUGCUUGCUAGCAGUCUGUGUUCUUCCGACUUUAUUUUGUAGUAAGUAACGAAAAUGCUUUGGGAAAAUGUAUCGGAGUAAAAGUAUACAUUUUAUUUAGAAAAUGUAGUGGAGUAAAAGUAAAAGUUGACAUAAAUAUAAAAACUCAAGUAAAGGACAGAUUCUCCCAAAAAAUACUAAAGUACUGUAACGAAGUAUUAUUACUUUGUUACAUUACACCACUGCUCCCAACCCUUUUCCAUUGUGGAAGAUGCUGGAUUUAGGGAGCUCCUGCAUGUGUUGGAUCCCACUUAUGUUAUCCCAACUCAAAAGGCUUUGAAGUUCAUGGUUGAUAAUAAAUACAAGGAGGCUAAGGAGAAGGCCAGAGAGCAGUUGCAGAAAGUUGUGUAGAGCAUUUCCCUAAGAGCCAUACCGCUGAGAACUUGGCUACUGGACACAUCAAGCUCAUGGAGGAGUGGGGCAUAAAGGAGAAAGUGAAGUGCCUGGUAACUGAUGCGGCAGCCAAUAUGAUUGCAUGUGAUAACCAGACAGAUGAUUGUGAGGGUGACCUUGAGCAGCUCUUUGUGGUGGUGUUCAUUAUUCAGAAGUAGGGGGAGAACUUCAUGAAACACCUUCUGACAUUGACAUUGUGAUCGAGGGAGAUAAAGUUUUGAAUCAACUCACUUGUCACAUCAGCUUGUGCCCUACUUCUGGAUGUCUUACAACAAUUGAAGGCUGAAAAAAAGGAGGCCUCAAAGUUUGUAUUUGCUGUUUCUGCAAAACUGGCUCCGUUAUGCUCCUGAUCAGCUUGCGGGCGUUGCUCGUGGUGGAAAUCCCUGAGUUCGUCAGAGUAUCAAUUUAAUGAAUAAGGACAUACCUGUGGUAGUGUUUCAGUCUGUAGUACUGUGUUUCUGUCUUUGUUUCCAUGUGUAUUUACUUCCAUUUUACAGAUGCAGGUUGCAUUUAUGUUGUCACAGUUUUCCAGGCUCUUUUUCCAAUGACUAAAAUGCAUGUUUGAGCUGUUUUAACUGAAAGUAACUUGCACUGUGCUAUUGUUUUGUCUCAAGAUGAAUGCCAAUAAUGUUUUUUUUUUUUAUUUUUUUUUUACUACUUAACCCCUUUCACAGACAAGGCUUAAAUCCAGUCCCAGACUAAAAUGUAUGUCUGAGCUGUUUUAACUGAAAACAUAUCUUAAAAUAUGUCACUGCCAUUGUUUUGUCUCAAGAUAAACACCAGUAAUGAUUGUUUUUUCUAAGGCAUGUCUAUAAAAGCUACUGAAAUAAUUGAACUAAGGUCUGAUCCUGGCUUAGCCUAAGCCCUGUCUGUGAAACCAGGCUUAUUUGUUUUAGUAACCAUGAAAUGCCAUUUUUACAGCCACUUGUUUUUCCUGAAUGUGAUGUUAAUUCCUGUUCAAACAGUGUGUGGUUAUAAAUGAAUACAUUUGUAUGUAAACUGAAGGAAGUUGUGAUUUUUUCAUUAAAACCAUAUUAACUGCA